CACCUAGCAACAGGAAGAUAAUAUCUCUCUCUUCCAACAGAAAAUAUGGAACUUUCUGGCAUGCCUACAUUACAUUAUAAAAAAUAAUAUGUGAUAAGAACCAAGUGGUAUAGACAUAAUAACUACUACAGGAAUGAUGAGAUACCAAGGAAGGAAGUUGAAAGACGGAAAAGUUUUACUAACGAGGGACUGGUUAUAGGAUAGAGAACUAUUGAUCUUUAUAAAUAUGGAUCCUGGAGCUGGCAUGGCCUCAUCCUCUCCUUCCAGGCCCACAUCCAGAGGCAUAAAACCUGUGCCACCACCAGUAGUGUCAUCUGAAGAGGUUGCCAGUGUGUCUAUUCCCAGGCAAGAUGCACCUAUAGGGCUUUCCCAAGACCCCCUCUCCUUCGCUGUGUCCCCAUCAAGUCUACAGGUGAGUCUUGAUAACAUAAGACUAUAGAUACCAUUGGCUCCUGGCAUGAAGGAGUUAAGACCUGGAGAAGUCAGGGUAUCUAAAUGCCUUCCUUAAAUGCCUCUCUGCCUUCUUCCAAUCAAGUCCUUCUGUAGCUGAUAGAGAGGCUCAAGCAUGAGUAACCAACUCUAACAAAGAAAU